rnacentral:tRNA from 1 species
GGGGAUGUAGCUCAGUGGUAGAGCACUUGCCUAGCAUGAAACAAGCCAUGGGUUUAAUCCCCAGCACCCCUG